GCCGUGAGGACACGUGUUGACACCACAAUUCACCCCGCUCACUCGUAACACUACUGAACAUAGAGAAAGACACUCUGGUCCAAGUCGGCCAAGGUAUCUCUCCCAGUUUUCCUCAAGUUUUGGAGCUUCUGAUCGCUGAUGGGGAGUUCUUAGCUUUUGCACCUGACACUGAUGAAACUAAUAACAUGAUCCACAUUCUCUCUCUUAAGUUUCCUCUACUUCCGCUGGUUACUAGGAUUUUUAAUGAUGACAUUGAGCUUGAAACCUAUAUAACCUCUCCCCAUUACGGUGUCUGCAGCGAUGUGAGGAACUGUUCGAAUCCAAAACUAAAAGGAGCAGUGGUAUUCCAUGAACAAGGACCUCAUGUCUAUGAUUAUAGCAUUCGCUUGAACCACACAUGGGCAUUGGCAGGAUUCCCUAGUGUCAAGUCGAUCAUGGACACAAAUGGACCUUAUAUCAACGAUCUGGAAAUGGGGAUUAAUACCAUACCAACAAUGCAAUACAGCUUCAGCGGAUUCUUGACUCUUCAGCAGGUGGUAGACUCUUUCAUAAUAUUUGCUUCUCAGCAAAACAGUGACUUGCCAUUAUCACAUUCAUCUCUUGGCUCAGCACCCUUUGAGCUGCCAUGGACUAUGUUUAGCCCAUCAAAGAUAAGAAUGGUUCCAUUUCCAACCCGCGAAUACACUGAUGAUGAGUUCCAAUCUAUUGUCAAAAGCGUAAUGGGCUUGUUGUACCUUCUGGGAUUUCUGUAUCCAAUCUCCCGGCUUAUCAGCUUACUCUGUCUUUGAGAAGGAGCAGAAAAUAAGA